GGUUAAGUGAAUAAGGGCGCACGGUGGAUGCCUUGGCACUAGAAGCCGAUGAAGGACGGGACUAACACCGAUAUGCUUCGGGGAGCUGUAAGUAAGCUAUGAUCCGGAGAUUUCCGAAUGGGGGAACCCAGUAUCUUUUAUAGGAUAUUAUCUAGUAGUGAAUACAUAGCUAUUAGAAGGUAGACGCAGAGAACUGAAACAUCUAAGUACCUGCAGGAAGAGAAAGAAAAAUCGAUUUCCUUAGUAGCGGCGAGCGAAACGGAAACAGCCCAAACCAAUAAGCUUGCUUAUUGGGGUUGUAGGACUCAAUUGUGGUAGCUGUUGUGGAUAGUCGAAUCGAUCUGGAAAGGUCAGCCGUAGUGGGUAAAAGCCCCGUAGAUGAAAUUGACAACACACCUAUGAGUAUCCUGAGUACGGCGGAACACGAGAAAUUCCGUCGGAAUCCGGGAGGACCAUCUCCCAAGGCUAAAUACUCUCUAGUGACCGAUAGUGAACCAGUACCGUGAGGAAAGGUGAAAAGCACCCGGAAGGGGAGUGAAAUAGAACCUGAAACCGUGUGCUUACAAGAAGUUAGAGCCCGUUAAUGGGUGAUAGCGUGCCUUUUGCAGAAUGAACCGGCGAGUUACGAUAGCAUGCGAGGUUAAGCUGAAGAAGCGGAGCCGUAGCGAAAGCGAGUCUGAAUAGGGCGAAUGAGUAUGUUGUCGUAGACCCGAAACCAUGUGACCUACCCAUGUCCAGGUUGAAGGUGUGGUAAAACGCACUGGAGGACCGAACCCACGUACGUUGAAAAGUGCGGGGAUGAGGUGUGGGUAGCGGAGAAAUUCCAAACGAACUUGGAGAUAGCUGGUUCUCUCCGAAAUAGCUUUAGGGCUAGCCUCGGAUUUGAGAAUGAUGGAGGUAGAGCACUGUUUGGACUAGGGGCCCGUCUUGGGUUACCGAAUUCAGAUAAAACUCCGAAUGCCAUUCAUUUAUAUCCGGGAGUCAGACAGUGAGUGAUAAGAUCCAUUGUCGAAAGGGAAACAGCCCAGACCACCAGCUAAGGUCCCAAAAUACAUGUUAAGUGGAAAAGGAUGUGAGGGUGCACAAACAACUAGGAUGUUGGCUCAGAAGCAGCCACCAUUUAAAGAGUGCGUAAUAGCUCACUAGUCGAGUGCCCUUGCGCCGAAAAUGUACCGGGGCUAAACAUGUUACCGAAGCUGUGGAUAGAACCUUUGGUUCUAUGGUAGGAGAGCGUUCUAAGGGCGUUGAAGCUGGAUCGUAAGGACUGGUGGAGCGCUUAGAAGUGAGAAUGCCGGUAUGAGUAGCGAAAGACAGGUGAGAAUCCUGUCCACCGAAUGACUAAGGUUUCCUGGGGAAGGCUCGUCCUCCCAGGGUUAGUCGGGACCUAAGCUGAGGCCGAUAGGCGUAGGCGAGGACAACAGGUUGAGAUUCCUGUACUCGUUUGUUUUGUUUGAACAAUGGAGGGACACAGGAGGCUAUGAGAUCGUGCGACUGGAAGUGCACGUUCAAGCAACAAGUUUUGAUAAGAGUCAAAUGCUUUUAUCUUUAAGAACAAGUUGUGAUGAGUAGGGAAAUAGAGUACCGAAGUCUCAAUGUCACACUGUCAAGAAAAGCUUCUAGUUAGAAACAAAUGACCGUACCGCAAACCGACACAGGUAGUCGAGGAGAGAAUCCUAAGGUGAGCGAGAGAACUCUCGUUAAGGAACUCGGCAAAAUGACCCCGUAACUUCGGGAGAAGGGGUGCUGAACGCAAGUUCAGCCGCAGUGAAUAGGCCCAAGCGACUGUUUAUCAAAAACACAGGUCUCUGCAAAAUCGAAAGAUGACGUAUAGGGGCUGACGCCUGCCCGGUGCUGGAAGGUUAAGAGGAUGGGUUAGCAAUAGCGAAGCUCAAAAUUGAAGCCCCAGUAAACGGCGGCCGUAACUAUAACGGUCCUAAGGUAGCGAAAUUCCUUGUCGGGUAAGUUCCGACCCGCACGAAAGGCGUAACGAUUUGGGCACUGUCUCAACGAGAGACUCGGUGAAAUUUUAGUACCUGUGAAGAUGCAGGUUACCCGCGACAGGACGGAAAGACCCCAUGGAGCUUUACUGUAGUUUGAUAUUGAAUGUUUGUAACACAUGUACAGGAUAGGUAGGAGCCGUAGAAAUCGGAACGCUAGUUUCGAUGGAGGCGCUGGUGGGAUACUACCCUUGUGUUAUGACCAUUCUAACCCGCACCACUUAUCGUGGUGGGAGACAGUGUCAGAUGGACAGUUUGACUGGGGCGGUCGCCUCCCAAAAGGUAACGGAGGCGCCCAAAGGUUCCCUCAGAAUGGUUGGAAAUCAUUCGUAGAGUGCAAAGGCAGAAGGGAGCUUGACUGCGAGAGUUACAACUCGAGCAGGGACGAAAGUCGGGCUUAGUGAUCCGGUGGUUCCGCAUGGAAGGGCCAUCGCUCAACGGAUAAAAGCUACCCUGGGGAUAACAGGCUUAUCUCCCCAAGAGUUCACAUCGACGGGGAGGUUUGGCACCUCGAUGUCGGCUCGUCGCAUCCUGGGGCUGUAGUCGGUCCCAAGGGUUGGGCUGUUCGCCCAUUAAAGCGGCACGCGAGCUGGGUUCAGAACGUCGUGAGACAGUUCGGUCCCUAUCCGUCGCGGGCGUUGGAAAUUUGAGAGGAGCUGUCCUUAGUACGAGAGGACCGGGAUGGACAUACCUCUGGUGUACCAGUUGUUCUGCCAAGGGCAUUGCUGGGUAGCUAUGUAUGGACGGGAUAAACGCUGAAAGCAUCUAAGCGUGAAGCCCCCCUCAAGAUGAGAUUUCCCAUUCCUUUAAGGAAGUAAGACCCCUGAAAGAUGAUCAGGUAGAUAGGCUAGAAGUGGAAGUACAGUGAUGUAUGGAGCGGACUAGUACUAAUCGGUCGAGGACUUAACCAA
rnacentral:rRNA from 1 species